rnacentral:rRNA from 1 species
GAGCCCGCGUUUCAUUAGCUGGACGGUGGGGUAACGGCCUACCGUGGCAACGAUGAAUAGCAGGCCUGAGAGGGUGGCCUGCCACACUGGGACUGGAACACGGCCCAGACUCCUACGGGAGGCAGCAGUGGGGAAUAUUGCGCAAUGGACGAAAGUCUGACGCAGCGACGCCGCGUGGAGGAUGAAGGUUUUCGGAUCGUAAACUCCAGUCAAGAGGGAAGAAACCUGUUGGAAAUAAUACUUCCAGCAAUUGACGGUACCUCUAGAGGAAGCACCGGCUAAUUCAGUGCCAGCAGCCGCGGUAAUACUGAAGGUGCAAGCGUUAAUCGGAAUCACUGGGCGUAAAGCGCUCGUAGGUGGCUUUGUAAGUCAGAUGUGAAAGCCCAGGGCUCAACCCUGGAAUUGCAUUUGAUACUGCAUCGCUAGAGUAUAGGAGAGGGAAGUGGAAUUUCUGGUGUAGGAGUGAAAUCCGUAGAGAUCAGAAGGAACACCCGUGGCGAAGGCGACUUCCUGGACUAUUACUGACACUGAGGAGCGAAAGCGUGGGGAGCAAACAGGAUUAGAUACCCUGGUAGUCCACGCCGUAAACAAUGAAUACUAGGUGCCGGGC